GUAGGGUGCGAGCGUUGUCCGGAAUUAUUGGGCGUAAAGGGCUCGUAGGCGGUUUGUCGCGUCGGGAGUGAAAACUCCGGGCUUAACUCGGAGCUUGCUUUCGAUACGGGCAGACUAGAGGUAUGCAGGGGAGAACGGAAUUCCUGGUGUAGCGGUGAAAUGCGCAGAUAUCAGGAGGAACACCGGUGGCGAAGGCGGUUCUCUGGGCAUUACCUGACGCUGAGGAGCGAAAGUGUGGGGAGCGAACAGGAUUAGAUACCCUGGUAGUCCACACCGUAAACGUUGGGCGCUAGGUGUGGGGUCCUUUCCACGGUUUCCGUGCCGCAGCUAACGCAUUAAGCGCCC
rnacentral:rRNA from 1 species